GUUUCUGUAGUCUGCACCAGGGAGCCGCACCUCAUCACCACCCGCUGCCACUUUGUUACAGUGGAAAUGAAGACUCACUGGGAACUUCCCCAUUGAAAUAAUGGUGUACUGGCGGGUUGGGGUCUACCUACCUAUGAUCCGCAAUCACCUGAAGGAAAUCCACGCUCUCCUCUGCCUAAUGGUAAAGUCAGAAACUAUUCAAGAAGCAAAAACACAAGCGAGGAUUAGUAUUUAAUUCUUCUCAAUAACAGGCCCUGGGGGUGUUGUCUCAGCACGCAAUAAAAUAUCUGGACAAUACCGUCAGCAAAAGGCUCCCAGCAGUAGGAUAUUACUGCUGCAAUUUCUUCCUGAACAUAGAAAUCUGUCUGGGGACACGAUGUACCAUUGUGUGUCGACAUAAUCUAGAUCUAAUACUCUGAUCAGCAUAUACUGUUCGCUUCAA